rnacentral:lncRNA from 1 species
UGCUGAUGUUUAGUCUCUAUAAAGUAAAUGUUAAUAUGCAUUCACACUACUACUUUAUUUUCAAUCUACUUUACUUUAUCACAACAACUACAACACAAUCUACUUUACUUCUACUUUAACAAUCUACUUUACUUUGUACUUUGUACUUUAUCUUCUUCUUUUUACUUUGUACAAUCUACUUUAUUUUAUCAAGCACAAGAAAAGUGCUGGGCAUUAAUGUGUACUAUAAUGCGACUUAUUAUUUGUAGACAUGUCGCACUAGGAUCAGAAAAAAAAAACAGAAGGCAGUCAAAAUAGAAUCUACCAAAAUGAAUUUCAAACACUCAUUAUUAAAACUUUCAAAUCUAAAAUUUAAUCUAAUAUUUAUUAUAUUAAUUUCCAUUAUUAAAUUUUCUUAACCCUACAAGUGCCAGCUGCCGAUAUAAUCAGCAGCCCGAUGCAUGCCCUAACUGCUUGCGCCGAUCUGGUCGACCGGAUCAUAUUACAGCCAUAUUAAAUCGGUUAGCCUAUUAAACUGCUUAUUUUUGUUACAUCAGUAUACUUGGAUAUAUCAGCCAAUAGACACAACUAUUAGAUAAAGUUUAGGACCCUCCUGUUUUGUUUACAUAAUUUUUGAAUGCAGCUGUGUAGCCCGAGA